rnacentral:rRNA from 1 species
GUCUACUUGAAGGUUGUGGCCUUGAGCCGUGGCUUUCGGAGCUAACGCGUUAAGUAGACCGCCUGGGGAGUACGGUCGCAAGAUUAAAACUCAAAUGAAUUGACGGGGGCCCGCACAAGCGGUGGAGCAUGUGGUUUAAUUCGAUGCAACGCGAAGAACCUUACCUACUCUUGACAUCCAGAGAAUUCGCUAGAGAUAGCUUAGUGCCUUCGGGAACUCUGAGACAGGUGCUGCAUGGCUGUCGUCAGCUCGUGUUGUGAAAUGUUGGGUUAAGUCCCGCAACGAGCGCAAUCCUUAUCCUUGUUUGCCAGCACGUAAUGGUGGGAACUCCAGGGAGACUGCUGGUGAUAAACCGGAGGAAGGUGGGGACGACGUCAAGUCAUCAUGGCCCUUACGAGUAGGGCUACACACGUGCUACAAUGGCGUAUACAGAGGGCUGCCAACCAGCGAUGGUGAGCGAAUCCCACAAAGUACGUCGUAGUCCGGAUCGGAGUCUGCAACUCGACUCCGUGAAGUCGGAAUCGCUAGUAAUCGUGAAUCAGAAUGUCACGGUGAAUACGUUCCCGGGCCUUGUACACACCGCCCGUCACACCAUGGGAGUGGGCUGCACCAGAAGUAGAUAGCUUACCUUCGGGAGGGCGUUUACCACGGUGUGGUUCAUGACUGGGGUGAAGUCGUAA